rnacentral:rRNA from 1 species
CCCUACGGGGUGCAGCAGUUACGAAACCUUCGCAAUGCUUUAACGAGCGACGAGGGAACCUGAAGUGCUCAUGCUCUGCAUGAGCUUUUGCUUACUUCAAACAGGUAGGCUAAUAAGGGGUGGGUAAUACGAGUGCCAGCCGCCGCGGUAAUACUCGAGCCCCAAGUGGUAUUCGCGAUUAGUGGGUCUAAAGCGUCCGUAGCCGGUUCGAUAAGUCCCUGGUGAAAUCCUUUGGUAAACUGAAGGGCUUGCUGGGGAUACUGUUGAACUUGGGACUGGGAGAGGAUAGACGUACUCCCGGGGGAGGGGUAAAAUCCUAUAAUCCUGGGGGGACGACCUGUGGCGAAGGCUUCUAUCUAGAACAGGUCCGACGGUGAGGGACGAAACCUAGGGUAGCGACCGGGAUUAGAUACCCCGUUAGUCCUAGGCGUAAACGAUGCCCGUUUGGUGUCGCAAUCCUUACGAGGGUUUGCGGUGCCGGAGCGUAGGUGUUAAACGGGCCACCUGGGGAGUACGGCCGCAAGGCUGAAACUUAAGCGAAUUGGCGGGGGAGCACACAAGGGGUGGAGGCUGCGGUUCAAUUGGAUCCAACGCCGGAAAUCUCACGGGGAUCGACAGCAGAAUGAAUGUCAGUCUGAAAGGCUUACCAGACAGCUGAGAGGAAGUGCAUGGCCAAGGCG